UAGCUAGUUGGUGAGGUAACGGCCCACCAAGGCGACGAUCGGUAGCCGGACUGAGAGGUUGAACGGCCACAUUGGGACUGAGACACGGCCCAGACUCCUACGGGAGGCAGCAGUGGGGAAUACUGCACAAUGGGGGAAACCCUGAUGCAGCGACGCCGCGUGGAGGAAGAAGGUCUUCGGAUUGUAAACUCCUGUUGUUGAGGAAGAUAAUGACGGUACUCAACAAGGAAGUGACGGCUAACUACGUGCCAGCAGCCGCGGUAAAACGUAGGUCACAAGCGUUGUCCGGAAUUACUGGGUGUAAAGGGAGCGCAGGCGGGAAGACAAGUUGGAAGUGAAAUCCAUGGGCUCAACCCAUGAACUGCUUUCAAAACUGUUCUUCUUGAGUAGUGCAGAGGUAGGCGGAAUUCCCGGUGUAGCGGUGGAAUGCGUAGAUAUCGGGAGGAACACCAGUGGCGAAGGCGGCCUACUGGGCACCAACUGACGCUGAGGCUCGAAAGUGUGGGUAGCAAACAGGAUUAGAUACCCUGGUAGUCCACACUGUAAACGAUGAUUACUAGGUGUUGGAGGAUUGACCCCUUCAGUGCCGCAGUUAACACAAUAAGUAAUCCACCUGGGGAGUACGACCGCAAGGUUGAAACUCAAAGGAAUUGACGGGGGCCCGCACAAGCAGUGGAGUAUGUGGUUUAAUUCGACGCAACGCGAAGAACCUUACCAAGUCUUGACAUCCUGCGACGGACAUAGAAAUAUGUUUUUCCUUCGGGACGCAGAGACAGGUGGUGCAUGGUUGUCGUCAGCUCGUGUCGUGAGAUGUUGGGUUAAGUCCCGCAACGAGCGCAACCCUUAUGGUCAGUUACUACGCAAGAGGACUCUGGCCAGACUGCCGUUGACAAAACGGAGGAAGGUGGGGAUGACGUCAAAUCAUCAUGCCCUUUAUGACUUGGGCUACACACGUACUACAAUGGCGUUAAACAAAGAGAAGCAAGACCGCGAGGUGGAGCAAAACUCAGAAACAACGUCCCAGUUCGGACUGCAGGCUGCAACUCGCCUGCACGAAGUCGGAAUUGCUAGUAAUCGCAGAUCAGCAUGCUGCGGUGAAUACGUUCCCGGGCCUUGUACACACCGCCCGUCACACCAUGAGAGCCGGGGGGACCCGAAGUCGGUAGUCUAACCGCAAGGAGGACGCCGCCGAAGGUAAAACUGGUGAUUGGGGUGAAGUCGUAACAAGGUAA
rnacentral:rRNA from 1 species